rnacentral:lncRNA from 1 species
GAAAAAUGAUAAUUAAGCUUGAUUCAUUAAGAAUCAAGAUGAAGGAGAAAUGAAUGCAAUAAACGACAAUGAAUUUGUAAAUUUAACAAGGCGGAACAACGAGUUUUUCGAUUUCAUUAGUUGAUUUUAAGUUGUCGUAAACAAUUUAAACCAUUAUUGUUUGUGACUUGAGUUCCAUUAGAAAAGACACAUAAUUAGACUCGCAUAUAAUAAAUAAGAGAUUCGAAUCUCAAUGCAUAUUAUCCAGAUUAUCCAACAUCGCGAACCAUUUCAAGCGAUGCAUUAGUUUGACAAUUUUUGGUAACUGGAAGAAUGAGUUAAGCAUAUUUUCCAUAAACUUAUAGUGAAAGAUGAUGAUUAAAGAAUGUUGGUGCUUAUGUUUUAAAACGCCGCAGCUUCUCUGCGUUGGUGAUUUUCGUAAAGAGGUUUUCCAGCUGUAGAGACUUUCGAAAGCACAACUUUAAUAAUGCAAUUUAAACUUCGCCUUCGACAUCCAUUUCCCCCAAGGGAAUGUUAUUAUUAUUAUCGUUGCCACCUCUAAACGCAUUUGCUAGCCCCAUCAUCGCAUUUCCUAUCCCUCCUAGUCGGGUAAGUAAAAAAUCAUUCAUACAGUUGGUUGAAUACACAUACCUAAAAUAAAAGCUAUACCAUUCCUGAUAGAGUUUCGUGUUCUUAUGAGUGCACCUGGACAUUCUGGCAUGGUUAGAGUAAACUUCAAGAAUAUUUAACGAACCCAUUUCGCAAAGAAAAAGAACAUUGCCCAUAAUAAAUAGCACAGAGGCUUCAAUUUCACAACCUGUCCAUUCAAAAUGUUUACCACGUAAAAACAUCGUACCGUUUAGUACCAACACGAUACCACUUUGUAACAAAAACACUUUUGCCAACUUAGCUAACGUACGCUCGAAUGUCCAAAAUGGAAUACAAACUGUUUGUCAGCGUUUAGCAUUGUAACUUCACUUACCAGAUGAUACAAUUAAAAGUAAAACAGCCGAAAUAGUGCAUGUGGAAUAGAUGAGAGCCUUAUUUAAGUUCAGAUCGCCAGAUUUGACGCAACCAAAGAGUAUACAACAAAUGAUUAACCAGAGUAACCAAAUUAUAAUCAUCAUUUCUCUUCUUAUGUUGAAAAGGCCAAUAGAGAUCACCUUUACACAUUGUGCCAAGAAAACUACAGUCACCUUUAUACAUUGUGCCAAGAAAAUUACAGUUACUUUGACUGCCUUGAUCCAAGUUUCAUAGAAGUCUAAUGAGUUAGUGACUGAAGGUAAGAAUUGACCUAUCGUGUCACUUACACCAUAAAGAAAUAAAAAUCAUUAGGCAAAUAGCACACCACACUCCAAAAUAUACCCAUUCAUCUUUGCCAUAAUCUUUAAAGAGAGCGUCCUUAUACGUUAGAUAACAAACUGCGGGUACGUUUAGCACAAAGAUUGAAAUGAAUGAUAAAAAUGCUUUUUUCAACGGAGAGGUAGAAGAAUUAUCUGCCGUCCCGGAAGAAUGGUUUUCUCUAUGUGUAAUAGAAAGACUGUCUUCACCAUAAUCCGGAGGAGUCGUAGACUCGUCCGUAUUAAAU